GAAGGGGUAGCUCAGUGGUUAAGGUGUUGGCCUUCUGAUCAGAAGGCUGAGAGUUCAAAUCCCACCACCACUA